GGUUAAGCGACUAAGCGUACACGGUGGAUGCCCUGGCAGUCAGAGGCGAUGAAGGACGUGCUAAUCUGCGAAAAGCGCCGGCGAGGUGAUAUGAACCCUUGACCCGGCGAUGUCCGAAUGGGGAAACCCAGUGCAAUCCGUUGCACUAUCGUUAACUGAAUACAUAGGUUAACGAGGCGAACCGGGGGAACUGAAACAUCUAAGUACCCCGAGGAAAAGAAAUCAACCGAGAUUCCCCCAGUAGCGGCGAGCGAACGGGGAGCAGCCCGGAGUCUGAAUCAGCUUGUGUGUUAGUGGAACGGUCUGGAAAGUCCGACGGUACAGGGUGAUAGUCCCGUACACGAAAGCACACAUGCUGUGAACUCGAAGAGUAGGGCGGGACACGUGGUAUCCUGUCUGAAUAUGGGGGGACCAUCCUCCAAGGCUAAAUACUCCUGACUGACCGAUAGUGAACCAGUACCGUGAGGGAAAGGCGAAAAGAACCCCGGCGAGGGGAGUGAAAAAGAACCUGAAACCGUGUACGUACAAGCAGUGGGAGCCUACUUGUUAGGUGACUGCGUACCUUUUGUAUAAUGGGUCAGCGACUUAUAUUCUGUAGCAAGGUUAACCGUAUAGGGGAGCCGAAGGGAAACCGAGUCUUAACUGGGCGUUAAGUUGCAGGGUAUAGACCCGAAACCCGGUGAUCUAGCCAUGGGCAGGUUGAAGGUUGGGUAACACUAACUGGAGGACCGAACCGACUAAUGUUGAAAAAUUAGCGGAUGACCUGUGGCUGGGGGUGAAAGGCCAAUCAAACCGGGAGAUAGCUGGUUCUCCCCGAAAGCUAUUUAGGUAGCGCCUCGUGAACUCAUCUUCGGGGGUAGAGCACUGUUUCGGCUAGGGGGCCAUCCCGGCUUACCAACCCGAUGCAAACUACGAAUACCGAAGAAUGUUAUCACGGGAGACACACGGCGGGUGCUAACGUCCGUCGUGAAGAGGGAAACAACCCAGACCGCCAGCUAAGGUCCCAAAGUCAUGGUUAAGUGGGAAACGAUGUGGGAAGGCACAGACAGCCAGGAUGUUGGCUUAGAAGCAGCCAUCAUUUAAAGAAAGCGUAAUAGCUCACUGGUCGAGUCGGCCUGCGCGGAAGAUGUAACGGGGCUAAACCAUGCACCGAAGCUGCGGCAGCGACACUAUGUGUUGUUGGGUAGGGGAGCGUUCUGUAAGCCGUUGAAGGUGGCCUGUGAGGGUUGCUGGAGGUAUCAGAAGUGCGAAUGCUGACAUAAGUAACGAUAAAGCGGGUGAAAAGCCCGCUCGCCGGAAGACCAAGGGUUCCUGUCCAACGUUAAUCGGGGCAGGGUGAGUCGACCCCUAAGGCGAGGCCGAAAGGCGUAGUCGAUGGGAAACAGGUUAAUAUUCCUGUACUUGGUGUUACUGCGAAGGGGGGACGGAGAAGGCUAUGUCAGCCGGGCGACGGUUGUCCCGGUUUAAGCAUGUAGGCGGAGGUUCCAGGUAAAUCCGGUACCUUUUAACGCUGAGGUGUGAUGACGAGGCACUACGGUGCUGAAGUGAUAAAUGCCCUGCUUCCAGGAAAAGCCUCUAAGCAUCAGGUAACACGAAAUCGUACCCCAAACCGACACAGGUGGUCAGGUAGAGAAUACCAAGGCGCUUGAGAGAACUCGGGUGAAGGAACUAGGCAAAAUGGUGCCGUAACUUCGGGAGAAGGCACGCUGAUGUGUAGGUGAAGCCCCUGCGGGCGGAGCUGAAAUCAGUCGAAGAUACCAGCUGGCUGCAACUGUUUAUUAAAAACACAGCACUGUGCAAACACGAAAGUGGACGUAUACGGUGUGACGCCUGCCCGGUGCCGGAAGGUUAAUUGAUGGGGUUAGCUGUAAGGCGAAGCUCUUGAUCGAAGCCCCGGUAAACGGCGGCCGUAACUAUAACGGUCCUAAGGUAGCGAAAUUCCUUGUCGGGUAAGUUCCGACCUGCACGAAUGGCGUAAUGAUGGCCAGGCUGUCUCCACCCGAGACUCAGUGAAAUUGAACUCGCUGUGAAGAUGCAGUGUACCCGCGGCAAGACGGAAAGACCCCGUGAACCUUUACUAUAGCUUGACACUGAACACUGGUCCUUGAUGUGUAGGAUAGGUGGGAGGCUUUGAAGCGUGGACGCCAGUCUGCGUGGAGCCAACCUUGAAAUACCACCCUUUAAUGGCUGGUGUUCUAACGUAGACCCGUAAUCCGGGUUGCGGACAGUGUCUGGUGGGUAGUUUGACUGGGGCGGUCUCCUCCCAAAGAGUAACGGAGGAGCACGAAGGUUGGCUAAUCCUGGUCGGACAUCAGGAGGUUAGUGCAAUGGCAUAAGCCAGCUUGACUGCGAGCGUGACGGCGCGAGCAGGUGCGAAAGCAGGUCAUAGUGAUCCGGUGGUUCUGAAUGGAAGGGCCAUCGCUCAACGGAUAAAAGGUACUCCGGGGAUAACAGGCUGAUACCGCCCAAGAGUUCAUAUCGACGGCGGUGUUUGGCACCUCGAUGUCGGCUCAUCACAUCCUGGGGCUGAAGUAGGUCCCAAGGGUAUGGCUGUUCGCCAUUUAAAGUGGUACGCGAGCUGGGUUUAGAACGUCGUGAGACAGUUCGGUCCCUAUCUGCCGUGGGCGCUGGAGAAUUGAGGGGGGCUGCUCCUAGUACGAGAGGACCGGAGUGGACGCAUCACUGGUGUUCGGGUUGUCAUGCCAAUGGCACUGCCCGGUAGCUAAAUGCGGAAGAGAUAAGUGCUGAAAGCAUCUAAGCACGAAACUUGCCCCGAGAUGAGUUCUCCCUGAGACUUUAAGUCUCCUGAAGGAACGUUGAAGACGACGACGUUGAUAGGUCGGGUGUGUAAGCGCAGCGAUGCGUUGAGCUAACCGAUACUAAUGAACCGUGAGGCUUAACCUU
rnacentral:rRNA from 1 species